AACGAACGCUGGCGGCAUGCCUAACACAUGCAAGUCGAACGAGACCUUCGGGUCUAGUGGCGCACGGGUGCGUAACGCGUGGGAACCUGCCCUUAGGUUCGGAAUAACUCCCCGAAAGGGGUGCUAAUACCGGAUAAUGUCUUCGGACCAAAGAUUUAUCGCCUUUGGAUGGGCCCGCGUUGGAUUAGCUAGUUGGUAGGGUAAAAGCCUACCAAGGCGACGAUCCAUAGCUGGUCUGAGAGGAUGAUCAGCCACACUGGGACUGAGACACGGCCCAGACUCCUACGGGAGGCAGCAGUGGGGAUUAUUGGACAAUAGGCGAAAGCCUGAUCCAGCAAUGCCGCGUGAGUGAUGAAGGCCUUAGGGUUGUAAAGCUCUUUUACCCGGGAUGAUAAUGACAGUACCGGGAGAAUAAGCUCCGGCUAACUCCGUG
rnacentral:rRNA from 1 species